rnacentral:rRNA from 1 species
AUUGAACGCUGGCGGCAGGCCUAACACAUGCAAGUCGAGCGGAGCGGCGGACGGGUGAGUAAUGCCUAGGAAUCUGCCUGGUAGUGGGGGAUAACGUCCGGAAACGGGCGCUAAUACCGCAUACUAUCAGAUGAGCCUAGUUCGGUUUAGCAAGUUGGUGGGGUAAAGGCCUACCAAGGCGACGAUCCGUAACUGGUCCGAGGGGAUGAUCGGUAACACGGGAACUGGGAAACGGUCAAGAGUCCUACGGUAGGCAGCAGUGGGGAAUAUUGGAAAAUGGGCGAAGGCCUGAUCCAGCCAUGCCGCGUGUGUGAAGAAGGUCUUCGGAUGGUAAAGCACUUUAAGUUGGGAGGCGUUACCAACAGAGUAAGCACCGGCUAACUUCGUGCCAGCAGCCGCGGUAAUAC